rnacentral:rRNA from 1 species
UACAGAGGGGGCAAGCGUUGUUCGGAAUUACUGGGCGUAAAGGGCUCGUAGGCGGCCAACUAAGUCGGAUGUGAAAUCCCCAGGCUUAACCUGGGAACUGCAUCCGAUACUGGAUGGCUUGAAUCCGGGAGAGGGAUGCAGAAUUCCAGGUGUAGCGGUGAAAUGCGUAGAUAUCUGGAGGAACACCGGUGGCGAAGGCGGGUCUCUGGGCCGAUACUGACGCUGAGGAGCGAAAGCGUGGGGAGCAAACAGG